rnacentral:lncRNA from 1 species
GACGCGUUUCAGGUUUGAGUUCAGACCUUGGUCUGAAAUUACAUUUCACAAAGCAAGGUUUGUCCUCAGACCAGGUUUAUGUACGUCAUCAGACCCGAAAUUUACAGACUGCUCAGAUAGGAGGUUUGUAAUUUCUCAAACCUGGUUUGAGAGCUAUCAACCAAUCAGGAUGCAGCACUGGGUGGAGAUAAUUUAUGCUCGAUUGAUUUUAUCCAAAUAAUUCACCGCCAAAACAAUCUGCGAUAGUAUCUGGUCAGCCCGAUUGUAGUGCAAUUGAAAUCUCUCAAUCUCUCGAUCCUUUCCUUAAAAUCUAAAGAUGGUAGAAAUGCAGCUGAUUCAGCAUAAUGAGCUGGUGUACCUGGAGGAGGAGCUGGAGCAAUAUAUAGCAGCACAACCGGGCAGAGGCCUCUGAGUCUGAGAUUGGGAAAACCCGCUUGAUGAUGAGCCUUUUGUUUUAGAUUGAGGUAAUUCGAUCUAAAGGAUGCACCGUGAGGAGGCGGCAUGCCGUGUCAUAUUCAUCUGUUUGCCGAAUGGAGAGUAGUGAGGGAUGUUUCCGAAGCUGUUGUCAGAAGAAAGGGACAAGUCAUGAAGUUUCCUACAAGUUACAACAAGGCAAAUAGUGACUACUAUUCAGAAGCAGUUUUUCCAGUACUGCAGAUUUCCAGGAGUUGCUGUUGAUGGGACACAUGUUUACAUCAGGAGCCCUGGUGGGGCAAGAGCCAGGUAAUACUUCAAUAGGAAGAACAGGUACUCCAUCGAUGUUCAGGUUGUCUGUGAUUAUGCUGGGAAAAUAACUAGUAUCGUUGCAAGGUGGCCUGGACUGGUAGCAGCCACGAUGCCAGGAUCUUUUCUGAGUGUGCACUGAAUUGGCAGCUUGAUGCUAGGGCAUAUGAAUAACAGUUGAUUCU